ACGACCUUACUUGAACAGGAUCUGUUCUAUAGGCUCGUACCUCUGUGUCCUUGAGUUCUAAGGAGACAGGAAACCACGUCUGGUGGAUGAAAUAUGACCGCUUGACCAGAGCGUGAUUAACAGCUCUUGUUGCUCGGCUUCCGAGCUCCCAGGGCAGUAGAGGAUCGUUCCCAGCCCUUCGCUCUGGCAUUGGUUGGGGUGGUCUUGCGGUUGUCUGACAGACU